ACAAUUAUUGAAGCCUCCAAAAUACAAUUCUUUAAAAAAGCCAAAAAGUUGUACAUAUACACAUAAAUUACUGAAAAUUUUGCUAUCUGAAAGGAAGUCAAAGCGAAAUUAAACACUCCAUGUGCAGGCGUGAGCUGAUUCAGGAAACGAGCAAGAGAAGCCAUUACUCGGCGCCGUAUCCAGGGAAUGUGACGGAGAUGAGGAUUGAAGAGCUGAUCGACCGCCGUGCAGGUUCUCCUCAUUUUCUCAUAGCGCCGAACAGUAGCUCUUCCUUUAGCACAAAAAAGCAUGCAUCCAAUUCAGAAUGCUGAAAUCAGCUCUGCAUUUUCCCUGAAAACAAUUUUGUCCUUGUGUUCAUCAAUUAGAGGUUACCGCGGCAUCAAGCCCGAGUCGGAGAUCCAAUUCAUUGAACUUUUUCCUUGGUGUUAGGUUUGCCGGACGACAAGGAAAUCCUCCGAAAGUAAACAGCUACAAUCUCUUCUUUGAAUUCAAGUCAGCAAGAAGACAUUAAUCGGAGAGACUAAUACUGAUCUCACUCCUCAGGCACACCGGUGGUUCAGCCACUCUUGCAUAAAAUCAAUAAAAUAGCUAAAGUAUAAAAAAAAAAUGUGAAAGAGAUCGAAAUUAGCUGGCGGUGUGCUCAUUUUGAAAUCAGC
rnacentral:lncRNA from 1 species